AGCUCCAAUAGCGUAUAUUAAAGUUGUUGCAGUUAAAAAGCUCGUAGUUGGAUUUCUGGUGUGAGGUGCUUGACCCGCCGCGGUUACGCGUGUGAGUGUCGGUGUGCCUCGGCCAUCCUUCUAGAAAUUGGCUCUGCCCUUCAUUGGGUUGGGGUCGAGAUCUAGAUCUUUUACUUUGAAAAAAUUAGAGUGUUUAAAGCAAGCGUUGCGUGAAUACAUUAGCAUGGAAUAAUAACUUAGGACUUCGGUUCUAUUUUGUUGGUUUCUAGGACUGAAGUAAUGAUUGAUAGGGAUAGUUGGGGGUGCUAGUAUUCAGCGGCCAGAGGUGAAAUUCUUGGAUUCGCUGAAGACUAACUUAUGCGAAAGCAUUCACCAAGGAUGUCUUCU
rnacentral:rRNA from 1 species